GAGCCGCUAACUCAAUGGUAGAGUAUCUGCCUUUUAAGCAGAAAGCUACAGGUUCGAAUCCUGUGCGGCUCA
rnacentral:tRNA from 1 species